rnacentral:rRNA from 1 species
AGGAUGAACGCUGGCGGCGUGCUUAACACAUGCAAGUCGAACGAUGAGGGCUGGAGCUUGCUCUGGCUGGAUUAGUGGCGAACGGGUGAGUAACACGUGAGUAACCUGCCCCAGACUCUGGGAUAAGCGCUGGAAACGGCGUCUAAUACCGGAUACGAGCUUCCACCGCAUGGUGAGGAGCUGGAAAGAAUUUCGGUCUGGGAUGGACUCGCGGCCUAUCAGCUUGUUGGUGAGGUAAUGGCUCACCAAGGCGACGACGGGUAGCCGGCCUGAGAGGGUGACCGGCCACACUGGGACUGAGACACGGCCCAGACUCCUACGGGAGCAGCAGUGGGGAAUAUUGCACAAUGGGCGCAAGCCUGAUGCAGCAACGCCGCGUGAGGGACGAAGGCCGUU